rnacentral:rRNA from 1 species
GUGCCAGCCGCCGCGGUAAUACGUAGGGGGCAAGCGUUGUCCGGAUUCAUUGGGCGUAAAGCGCGUGUAGGCGGCCAGGUAGGUCCGACGUGAAAACUGGAGGCUCAACCUCCAGCUGUCGUUGGAAACCAUCUGGCUAGAGUCCGGAAGAGGAGAGUGGAAUUCCUGGUGUAGCGGUGAAAUGCGCAGAUAUCAGGAAGAACACCAAUGGCGAAGGCAGCUCUCUGGGACGGUACUGACGCUGAGACGCGAAAGCGUGGGGAGCGAACAGGAUUAGAAACCCUUGUAGUCC